GGUUGUGGUGCCAUGCCUAUUGGUCGUGGUUGCCCUCCAGCAACUGUUGGUGCAUAUUGACCUUGAGCACCGACUGAUAACCCUGCUUGAGAGCUCUGGCAUAGGGCCAGUUUAAGUAAACAAACAAUCAAUUUAGUCACAUUACAUGU